UACGAAGGGGGCUAGCGUUGUUCGGAAUUACUGGGCGUAAAGCGCGCGCAGGCGGUUUUCCAAGUCAGUGGUGAAAGCCCGGAGCUCAACUCCGGAAUUGCCAUUGAAACUGUAAAACUUGAGUACGAGAGAGGUGAGUGGAACUCCCAGUGUAGAGGUGAAAUUCGUAGAUAUUGGGAAGAACACCGGUGGCGAAGGCGGCUCACUGGCUCGUAACUGACGCUCAGGCGCGAUAGCGUGGGGAUCAAACAGG
rnacentral:rRNA from 1 species